GGGGAAGGCAGGUGUACCUGGGCGUAGGGCAGGGGGAAGGCAGGUGUACCUGUGUAUAGAGCGCUAUGCAGGUGUACCUGGGCGUAGGGCAGGGGGAAGGCAGGUGUACCUGU